rnacentral:lncRNA from 1 species
AAAAUGGAAAAUUACCCCAGACUUUGCUCAAUGAAAAAGCUGAAUGAUUCUCAGGAAAUCAGUGGAAUUGGGCAGGCCCACAGCCAUAUCCUUUUUGACGGUGUAAAAAUUCUUCCCAGGAUCCUGCCACAUAAACAUAGCUAUGAGGAAGAUGAGACUCACAGGACAGAACAUGGAAGCACCAUUAAUGCAGACCAACCUGAUUCUUUUCUACCUUUCUUUAGAAUUCUCAGGAUGCAAGUGGGCUGUGUUGUCCACCCUAAAGAGAGCGACCAGUUCAUCUGCCUCUAAGUGUUCUAAAGAUUCUUGGCUAAGAUAUCCUUUUUAAUGAGUGGCACAGACUGGGAUGGUGUGGGAGAAGCUGAGAGGCCUUUGGGUGGACCUUUUACUCCAAGCUGCUUUCCUUCUAUUUGCCAUACUGUCCUAAAUGCUACCAAAUGUGCUCUUUUAAUUGCAUUGACCACGUCCUUUUGAAAAAUAAGAAUUUCCUAGAUUGAGAUUAUUCCAGAACUCUGACUAAUAUUUAAGGGAACUAUGAGAGAGGGGAGAAAGGAGGAAAAGCUCUCUGUUGACUAAUAUGAACAAAUUGUAGGAAAGGCAGGGGUAGUGCCAGACGCCGUAGGAAACUGAAAGCAGAAACUUGGCAUCUGUAGGAUUCAUUCCAACUCCCAAAUAUGUCAGUGUUUCAUUUUAAGUAAAGUCUUUAUAAUUCAGAAUCUGGUCACCAGCAACAAUGGGUUUAUAUUCUUCCACCCUCAAAACUUAGGAGAGAGAUCCUGAAAAUUAAAAAAUAAAAUUCUAAAUUCUUUGGAAAGACUGAUUGACCAGGUAUUUAGCAUAACAUAGAAAAUCCCAUUUAUUCCAUGCAGGGGAAGAUAGAAAAGUGAGUCACUGAAAGGCAAAAAGUUGAAACACACACACACACAUUAAUAUCCAUCAUAGGUUUUAUUAACCUACAACACUUCAAAAGCAUAUUAUUUUAUCCAAUCCAUUCUCUAGAUAAGACUAGUGAACAGAAGAAAAGAUACUUACUGAUAGGGAGGAGGAAAGGGGAUAAGGAAGAGCAUAAUUUUAGUCAGGAUUUAUGUAUAUUUACAAUCAUAUUUAUAAUAGAUUAUAAUUUAUGUGACUUUCAUUCAAAUAUAUAUGCAAAUCUCGUGUCACACCAUAUGACAUAAUUUUUGUUUAUAAAAAAUAUAUUUACUGUUGUCAUGGUCUAUAAGAAGGUGAACGUUUUAGAUGACAGAACUGCAACUGCCAUUUUAAGAAUGCCAGGAGUGGAACAAGGGUUGGGCGGAGUGGGGUAGUUCCAGAAAGAAAAAGAGUCAGCAAAGUGAGAGCCUCCAAAAAAUAAAUUUCAAAAUCAUCAGUUUCGCC